GAAUUGGGACGCCCGGGCCUUGCUUGCUGCCCUUGGCUUGUGCAUGUCCCUCAGAUAAAGCCUAUUCUUUACCCAUGCCAUGUGACAUUGCAAAAUCCACCUUUAUCCCCCUCACCACACUGCAGAAAAGCCAAAACAAGCAGAACAUCAUAAAAACAGCCCAAGAGAAGAGUCAGAUACCUAACAAGAGACCACAAGUAGAGUGACAGCCGACUUCCUCCUCAACGGUGAAGACCAAGAGCUGAGAGGAAAAUCUCUCUCACAUUGUGGGCCCAGCAAACUUCUUCCAAGAAUGAGAGCAAAAUGAAUUUGGAGGAAACCGAGGAGAAGCAGUUGGAUGUAGCUGCCUUCAGGCAUCUGGUCCAGAU
rnacentral:lncRNA from 1 species